CUCUAUCUGACGAGUUUCAUAAAAGACGAAACUCUAGUCCUGGAU
rfam:Schistosoma rodhaini strain Burundi genome assembly, scaffold: SROB_scaffold0007879